ensembl:rRNA 5S_rRNA 5S ribosomal RNA
GCUCACGACCAUACCAGCUGAAGAACACAAGAUCUCGUCUGAUCUCGGAAGCUAAGAAGGCUUGGGCCUGGUUAGUACUUGGAUGGGAGACUACCUGGGAAUACCAGGUGCUGUAAGCU